rnacentral:lncRNA from 1 species
CAAAUUUUAGUAAAUAUUCUCACAUUUUAUAAUGGCUAAGAUAACACAACAAUCCCAUAAUAGAACUAAAUAUGACCAACCAAAUAAACAUAUAACAUAUAUACUUACAAGUACAUAUACAACCUAUGAUAUUCAAAAUAUAACAGAUUCAAUUGCAUAUACCAUAUAUACUUACAACAAAACAUACUCAAUACUCAUUAGCUCAUAUACAUACAAUUAUCGAACAUGGUAAAGCAAGUAAACUGAGUUCUACACCAAAAC